rnacentral:tRNA from 1 species
GCUCCCUUGGCUCAGUGGUAGAGCGUCACCUUGGUAAGGUGAAGGUCCCGAGUUCAAUUCUCGGAGGGGGCU